UACGUAGGGUGCGAGCGUUGUUCGGAUUUACUGGGCGUAAAGGGCGCGUAGGCGGCGUGUCAAGUCGAUUGUGAAAUCUCCGGGCUUAACUCGGAACGGCCAAUCGAUACUGACGUGCUAGAGUGCAGAAAGGGCAAUCGGAAUUCUUGGUGUAGCGGUGAAAUGCGUAGAUAUCAAGAGGAACACCUGAGGCGAAGGCGGGUUGCUAGGCUGACACUGACGCUGAGUGCGCGAAAGCCAGGGGAGCAAACAGG
rnacentral:rRNA from 1 species